rnacentral:ncRNA from 2 species
UUUAGAAAAUAUAAUAUACCUUGUAUAAAUUCAAGAAGAUGGCUUGAAAGUUUCUACCAGCUACCGAUAAUAGCUGACUACAAGGAAUGGGAAAUUAAUU